rnacentral:rRNA from 1 species
UCCUGAUCGACACGGAUGUGCCCUUGGGUGAAAUAUUCAUAGCCAAAAGAGGAGCUCGCGACCGAUUAGCUAGUUGGUGGGGUAAGAGCCUACCAAGGCUGCGAUCGGUAGCCGGUUUGAGAGGACGACCGGCCACACUGGGACUGAGACACGGCCCAGACUCCUACGGGAGGCAGCAGUGGGGAAUUUUCCGCAAUGGGCGAAAGCCUGACGGAGCAAUACCGCGUGAGGGAGGAAGGCUCUUGGGUCGUAAACCUCUUUUCUCAGGGAAGAAGCAAUGACGGUACCUGAGGAAUCAACAUCGGCUAACUCCGUGCCAGCAGCCGCGGUAAUACGGAGGAUGCAAGCGUUAUCCGGAAUGAUUGGGCGUAAAGCGUCCGCAGGUGGCACAUCAAGUCUGCUGUCAAAGCCCCCAGCUUAACUGGGAAGAGGCGGUGGAAACUGGUGAGCUAGAGAGCAAUAGGGGUAGAGGGAAUUCCCGGUGUAGCGGUGAAAUGCGUAGAGAUCGGGAAGAACACCAGUGGCGAAAGCGCUCUACUAUGUUGCAACUGACACUGAGGG